rnacentral:lncRNA from 1 species
AUGCACACUCCAUGUGAUCAGAGCACACCCUCUUGGCAGCCUCAGGGCAGCCCAGUUGCUUCUACAAAACCAGUCAAAGUCCUGCGUCCAACAGCCUUGUUGGUCCAGCGGUACCUGCUUCCUGUUCCCAGAGAGAUUCACCCUUGGGCUUUCCUAUCAGUCUUCCCUAAAGUUGGCUGCUCCUGUGUCCUGUCACAUAAAACUGUGAACCGAGGUCUCCGACUUACGUCAUGUCAGUCACAGCAGGGUGAGGCUCCACAAGUAAUAAAUAACUUCCAGUCCCUCUCUUUUUGUGACAAGUCAUCAGGGUAUUGCUACAACGCAAGGCUGGAGAGACCGUGCUGUGGUAAAGGAGAGAAGAGAUCCCUAAUUAUUUUAUUGACAGCCUUGCUGUUAGAGGCUCUUUCCCAGAAGUUGGACGAAGAGACUCAAGCGUUGCUGUUUCUUCCCUUCCAAGUCAAGUGGUUACUCUGGUAAUGGAUUGCCUCUCGGAG